CCAACCAUAGCUCAGUUGGUAGAGCGGAGGACUGUAGUAGAAUACCUGUAGUAAUCCUUAGGUCGCUGGUUCAAAUCCGGCUGGUUGGA